AACACUAAUUGCUAAACAAAGACAGGUGAGGAGAAUCAGUGCCCAUGGAAAGCGACAGUAAACAGGGAAAGAAGGUGCACCCACCCAGGAAACAGACGGAAACAGGAAAACUCCCAAACAUAAAUCAUGCCAUGACCCAGGAUGGCUGCAAAAUAAUACCGCAAUGUGGCUGAAGAAAGUGGCAACUGUCAGCACCUUGAUAAAGAAGAAGUCUUCUAUAAAGUUACUUUAUCUAUUAAAUGUGUAAUUUCUACGUAUGUUGCAUUGUUUUCUGCAUUUAAACUAAUAACUAUAAUUAUUACCUGGGCUACAAGGUUAUGUGAUCGCCAGGUUUAUCGGUCGGUCAGUAAAUUAGAAAUUUGACAAAAAAAUGUAUGGGUGAAUUUUCAUGAAACUUUAAGGUAAUGUUCGAAAUGGGAUCAGGAACAAGUGAUUAGAUUUUGGGGGUGAACCUGAUGACGCCUACUACAUUAACUUAUGUUAAUGGUACGAGGCUGAACUUUUCUGCUUGUCUAUGGUACCUGCCCGGUCCACGCCUCCACCCACAGGGACAAAGAGAGUGGAUGACUGACAAGAGUGUUGAUCUUAUUCCACUAUACAACAAACGUGACUGACUGCUGUGACCGAUGCAAAAAACGCACCCUCUUGCCCUGUUAUGGAUGGUUGUGGAAGGACACUGAGGAGGAACUCUUCUGCGCACACUUCACUGCAAGUGUGAUUUAUAAAGAGAAG